rnacentral:rRNA from 1 species
ACGAACGCUGGCGGCGUGCCUAAUACAUGCAAGUCAACGGCUUUUCUAUGGAAGCUUGCUUCCGACUGAGAAGAUAGUGGCGAACGGGUGAGUAACACGUGGGUAGCCUGCCCAUAAGAGGGGGAUAACAUCCGGAAACGGGUGCUAAUACCGCAUAGUUUUCUUGAUUGCAUGAUUGAGAAGGAAAGACGGCCUUUGUGCUGUCGCUUAUGGAUGGACCCGCGGCGUAUUAGUUAGUUGGUGAGGUAACGGCUCACCAAGACGAUGAUACGUAGCCGACCUGAGAGGGUGAUCGGCCACAUUGGGACUGAGACACGGCCCAAACUCCUACGGGAGGCAGCAGUAGGGAAUCUUCCGCAAUGGACGAAAGUCUGACGGAGCAACGCCGCGUGAGUGAAGAAAGGUUUUCGGAUCGUAAAACUCUGUUGUCAGAGAAGAACAAGUUGGAGAGUAACUGCUCCAGCCUUGACGGUAUCUGACCAGAAAGCCACGGCUAACUACGUGCCAGCCGCUGC